rnacentral:rRNA from 1 species
GUGAGGAAUUUUGCGCAAUGGCCGCAAGGCUGACGCAGCAACGCCGCGUGGGUGAAGAAGGCCUUCGGGUCGUAAAGCCCUGUCAGGUGGGAAGAAAGGUUUCGUCAAGAAACGGAUGGAAUUUGACGGUACCACCAGAGGAAGCACCGGCUAACUCCGUGCCAGCAGCCGCGGUAAUACGGAGGGUGCGAGCGUUAUUCGGAAUUAUUGGGCGUAAAGCGCGAGUAGGCGGGGAUGCAAGUCUGAUGUGAAAGCCCUGGGCUUAACCUGGGAAGUGCAUUGGAAACUGCAUUUCUUGAGUACUGGAGAGGAAGGGGGAAUUCCCGGUGUAGAGGUGAAAUUCGUAGAGAUCGGGAGGAAUACCAGUGGCGUAGGCGCCUUUCUGGACGGUUACUGACGCUGAGACGCGAAAGCGUGGGGAGCAAACAGGAUUAGAAACCCCAGUAGUCC